UACGUAGGCAGCAAGCGUUGUUCGGAAUUACUGGGCGUAAAGGGUGCGUAGGCGGCCUGCUAAGUUUGGUGAGAAAUCUCCCGGCUCAACCGGGAGGGUGCGCCGAAAACUGGCGGGCUAGAGUGUGGGAUAGGAAAGUGGAAUUCCUGGUGUAGCGGUGAAAUGCGUAGAUAUCAGGUGGAACACCUGUGGUGAAGACGGCUUUCGGGACCAUUACUGAAGGUGAGGCACGAAAGCGUGGGUAGCAAACAGG
rnacentral:rRNA from 1 species